UACAGGGGGUGCAAACGUUGCUCGGAAUUAUUGGGCGUAAAGCGCGCGUAGGCGGCUACCUAAGUCGGAUGUGAAAGCCCCUGGCUUAACUGGGGAAGUGCACCCGAAACUGAGUAGCUAGAGUGCGAAAGAGGGUCGCGGAAUUCCCGGUGUAGAGGUGAAAUUCGUAGAUAUCGGGAGGAACACCGGUGGCGAAGGCGGCGACCUGGGUCGACACUGACGCUGAGGCGCGAAAGCGUGGGGAGCGAACAGG
rnacentral:rRNA from 1 species